rnacentral:misc_RNA from 1 species
GAUGAAGAACGUAGUGAAAUGCGAUACGUAAUGUGAAUUGCAGAAUUCAGUGAAUCAUCGAGUCUUUGAACGCACAUUGCGCCCCCUGGUAUUCCGGGGGGCAUGCCUGUCCGAGCGUCAUUGCUGCCCUCAAGCCCGGCUUGUGUGUUGGGCCCCGUCCCCCUCUCCGGGGGACGGGCCCGAAAGGCAGCGGCGGCACCGAGUCCGGUCCUCGAGCGUAUGGGGCUUUGUCACCCGCUCUGUAGGCCCGGCCGGCGCCAGCCGACAACCCAUCAUCCUUUUCAGGUUGACCUCGGAUCAGGUAGGGAUACCCGCUGAACUUAAGCAUAUCAAUAAGCGGAGGA